GACGAACGCUGGCGGCGUGCCUGAUACAUGCAAGUUGAGCGCUGAAGGUUGGUACUUGUACCAACUGGAUGAGCAGCGAACGGGUGAGUAACGCGUGGGGAAUCUGCCUUUGAGCGGGGGACAACAUUUGGAAACGAAUGCUAAUACCGCAUAAAAACUUUAAACACAAGUUUUAAGUUUGAAAGAUGCAAUUGCAUCACUCAAAGAUGAUCCCGCGUUGUAUUAGCUAGUUGGUGAGGUAAAGGCUCACCAAGGCGAUGAUACAUAGCCGACCUGAGAGGGUGAUCGGCCCCAUUGGGACUGGAACACGGCCCAAACUCCUACGGGAGGCAGCAGUAGGGAAUCUUCGGCAAUGGACGAAAGUCUGACCGGGCAACGCCGCGUGAGUGAAGAAGGUUUUCGGAUCGUAAAACUCUGUUGGUAGAGAAGAACGUUGGUGAGAGUGGAAAGCUCAUCAAGUGACGGUAACUACCCAGAAAGGGACGGCUAACUACGUG
rnacentral:rRNA from 1 species